CAUUAAACAAUGCUCUG
rnacentral:miRNA from 1 species